ensembl:lncRNA
AUGCGUCUCGGGGCCACGGCUUCAUACACACACCACACUUGUCUUAUCCCCCGUCUGCUUUUUCCCCGGUCCAAGAAGAGGCUAGCUCAACCCCAGACACACACACGCGCUCGCACACCCUCGCUCAAACACAGUGAAAUAGGGCGGUUCAGAGGACGGAAACAUUCUGUGAAGUAUACACAGCAUGGUUUCUGUGGAUGGCCUGCGUGUCUUCAGCAGCGGCAGAAUCCUCUGAGGAACUGGCCUGACUCAUCUGCAUCUGUGACAGCAGGCACAGCAUGGAAAUGCUGUUGUUUGGACCAUGGCUGGAGUCUAUAAAACAGAUGCCGGCAUCAGGAGAUAAGGGCUUGCUGAGCUGGUACAAAACGGCCCGUGACUGGUCUGGCAUGUGACAGGCAGCCCGACUGAUCUUCAAUAAAGCCGCAUGAUGAACACGUAUCA